AUUUAAUUUCUUCUCACCAUGAUCAUGGAUCCGGCAUGACCAGACCACAACCUAUCACGUCCCAUGUGACUAGGCUGUCCACGACCUCUCAUCACCACAUCAGUCAUCAUUGUCACAUAUAGAGUUAUAUUAAGUAACAUGUAAUGCGUUUGUUCAUGCAACAGAUGAUCAAUAAUUUUUUAUCAGCAAACAUCACAUCAAGUGUUCAAACAUGCUUGCUUGGUUCGACGAAGUCGGGAUCGAGCUCGGUGAAGUUGACAUCGGCGCUUCCCUCGUCGGUAUCUACAUUAGAGACAUUCGUUCUAAUAUAAAUACAACAGUCCAAAAUUGUCUCAAAAUAUUUUCGAAUAAAUAUGAAAAUAAACUAUACAGCAAGAUAAAUGUUUUGCAAAAAGAAUCACUGGAAAAGCCCGUGUAGUUUAAAAGUUAUGGUGAAAACAAGUCUAGGGACCAUUCUGUAAGGAAAAGGAAAUUUUCCAAGGUGCAGACUGGAAAGAAGCAAAGCACCUGGUUUGAAUACGCGAACCCGAAGAGAAAGCGCAUUCUGGGGAAGUGCGCCUUAGAAAAACGAUUCGUUAAAAACUAAAAUCAUAACAGCAGGCCUCCACUCUCAGAUUUGAACUCACCUCACCGGCAGAAGAGGCUGGUGGUGUCGCUGGCAGCGUCCUGCGAUGGAUUAGAGGGGCAAGAGCGUGCGGGUGCACUCACCAGGAGGUUCCAUAGCUGAUGGAGGUGGAGUCACACGCCGGCGGACACCACAACGAUGGUAGCUCCAAACUCCGGCGGCGACGCUUUUGGGUGCAGGUGGAUCUCACUGGAGACGCCAUCAAUCACCAAAUCGACGUGCCAGUCACAUGAGCUAGUGCUCUAGGGGCUUGAUGGCAAAGAAUUGGCUGAGGGGGUGCUCUUACUGGCUCGAAUUUAGCUGGGACCCGAAACCCAAUCGGGCGACCGAAGGCAGGGAAGAUGACCUUCUCGGCGCCCUUCGAGUGGAUGGGGAGAGACUAUGGAAUGGAGGAGGGUGAGUGAUGGUGCUAGCAAGGCUCGGUGGUUUAUUUAUAGGUGGCCGCUAGGGGAGCCAUAGGGACCAACUCCGACGAAAAAUUGCGGAGAGGCAGAGGGGUUAGCAUGUGCUCACGCGAUCUGCACUGUCCAGAGCAUGGCGACGGGCAUCGCAGCAAGCAUGGGUGGGGAUGGGCACACAGAGCUUGUAUAGCGCUUGGGCGUUGCUGGCUGGCGCGCCUUUGCAGCAAUAGCUUCUGGCGGUGCUGCGAGAGUUGGCGGGCUUAGGCCAGCUCACCACCGAGUC
rnacentral:lncRNA from 1 species